GGUGUGCUUGCUCCCUCUGAUCAUUGGGAGAAGGUUCUGGUUCCACAUCUUUCUCUGCAACCCAUCCAUACCAGCCUUCUUUUUCAUGUCGAUAAAUAGGUCGAUCAGGAGGAGGUGGUAGAGGUCUUGGUCGGGGCCCGGCCUUGUCCCAUUCUUCUUUUAGUUGAUUUGCGCUUUGAUAGGUCGAUCAGGAGGAGGUGGUAAAGGUCUUGGUCGGGGCCCGGCCUUGUCCCAUUCUUCUUUUAGUUGAUUUGCGCUUUUUGCGGGUAAAAGCUGAUCAGGAUCAGGCGGAAGGGGAGUUUCUCGGCCAACUAAAGUGGCUAGCUCUUUUUUGCUGCACAAUG
rnacentral:lncRNA from 1 species